rnacentral:misc_RNA from 1 species
GUAUCUUUGUUUGUGUGCAAAACUUCCUUUCGAAAGUAGCAGCAGAUAUUACGUUGGUAGCUUUGUUCAAAGUAUAUAUUUUUACAUUUCACGUUGAUUAGAAGGCAUAAAUCCCUUCAUGAAUUAUGAAAAUGAUCCUUCCGCAGGUUCACCUACGGAAA